rnacentral:rRNA from 1 species
AUGGUCGCGAACGCCAUGGACGGAAGCAAAGUCGAUGGAUCACAUUGGUCAGCUCCUACGGCGAGCGCUUCGAGAUCACGCAAUAGGCGGCAGCGCUGUCACAUCCACCACAUGAUUGAGGACAAGUGCGUCCAGAACGGCGUCCCGCUCCGCCGCCGCAACAUGCACCAAGGACAUGGAGUGCUGCAACAUGCACGCCGCCGCCGGAGGUACCAGCUCCACGUCCGGCCAGCAGGACCUGAAGAGCUAACAAGCUGUCCCAUGAUCCUUAAUUCGCGUAUACUACAUCAGGCCCUCGAGCGGCAAGACCUCGCAACGGCUUGA